AUUGAACGCUGGCGGCAUGCCUUACACAUGCAAGUCGAACGAAGGCUUCGGCCUUAGUGGCGCACUGGUGCGUAACGCGUGGGAAUCUGCCCUUGGGUUCGGAAUAACAGUUAGAAAUGACUGCUAAUACCGGAUGAUGUCGUAAGACCAACGAUUUAUCGCCCAAGGAUGAGCCCGCGUAGGAUUAGCUAGUUGGUGGGGUAAAGGCCCACCAAGGCGACGAUCCUUAGCUGGUCUGAGAGGAUGAUCAGCCACACUGGGACUGAGACACGGCCCAGACUCCUACGGGAGGCAGCAGUGGGGAAUAUUGGACAAUGGGCGAAAGCCUGAUCCAGCAAUGCCGCGUGAGUGAUGAAGGCCUUAGGGUUGUAAAGCUCUUUUACCCGGGAUGAUAAUGACAGUACCGGGAGAAUAAGCUCCGGCUAACUUCGUGCCAGCCGCCGCAGUAAAAC
rnacentral:rRNA from 1 species